GUGCUCUUUUGGGCAGCACAUAUACUAAAACUGGAAUGAUACAGAGAAGAUUAGCAUGACCUCUGCACAAGGAUGACAUACUAACUCGAGAAGCGUUCCCUAUUUAC
ensembl:snRNA U6 U6 spliceosomal RNA